GGGUCUGUUUGUGAGGAAGAGACAGCUCAGAGAGGAGAAAGAGGGAAAAAAAAGUAAAAACACACAUCUCCCCAAACCCCUUCUGCCUAAUCCAACUGAAUUAGAGGAUUUUGAAGUGGAUUUAAAACUAAAUCUUGAUUAGGGAGAAUUUCUCUCCAAGAGCUGCUGCACAGUAGUAUUAAUGGGAAGCGAUCGUGGACAGAGGAAAUAGGACAGAAAUAACUGAGGGUAGCACAGACGUCUGUGCACAAACUGAAAGAAUCAGAGAAUUUCUCGGGAGGAAAAGGGAGAAAUUAAGCGUCGACAUAACAGGACUCGGUGCCACGGGGCUGGAGGAGCGGGGAGCAGCCGGACCUGCAGAUCUGCCUUUAUUCGGCGCAGGGCUUGCAGGUGGGAAGCCAGCGGUGUGUGGAAGCCAGGAGGACAGGCAGCCCGUGCCCCCAUGCUCUCAGGACACAUGCCUGGAGGUGCCCAUGGGAUCCUCUCUCUGAUGACUGUGGUGUUUGUCCUCCCAGAGGUGUCUGGGCUCCAGUGCUACGGCUGCAACAUCAUCGUUGGCACCAAGUACGUGGACACGGGGUGCUCGAACCCAGAGGUGAUCACCUGCUCACACUCCCACCAGGGCUUCAAACACCGGUUCUGCAUUAAGACUGAAAGUGUGGUCCUGGGCAUCCUGCUGACCAGCGGCUGUGCCACCUCCCGUCACUGCCAGCAGCAGGAGCUGCCGGGGGUCCGCAUCCACUGCUGUGACACCGAUCUCUGCAAUGGCUCUCCCCAGCCUCCCCCCAGCCUCGCUGGUGGCUGCCUCCUGCUGCCCAGCCUCCUGGCAGCCCUGCUGCUCUCCUGAGCUCCCCAAGGCUGGGGAGUGAUGUGUGGCCCUCAGGGGGAACAGGAGAGGGGAUGAACCCAUCCCUGCUUGCCCCGCUCCUCAAUAAAAGCCACCAAAUG
rnacentral:lncRNA from 7 species